GGCUCAGUAGCUCAAUUGGUUAGAGCACUGCCCUGUCACGGCAGAGGUCGCGGGUUCAAGUCCCGUCUGAGUCG
rnacentral:tRNA from 1 species